GACAGAGGGUGCGAACGUUGUUCGGAAUUACUGGGCGUAAAGCGUGUGUAGGCGGCAAUGCAAGUCGGGCGUGAAAUCCCACGGCUCAACCGUGGAAGUGCACUCGAAACUGCAUAGCUAGAGUCCUGGAGAGGAAGGUGGAAUGCUUGGUGUAGAGGUGAAAUUCGUAGAUAUUGGGAAGAACACCGGUGGCGAAGGCGGCGACCUGGUCCUUGACUGACGCUGAGGCGCGAAAGCGUGGGGAGCAAACAGG
rnacentral:rRNA from 1 species